rnacentral:lncRNA from 10 species
GGAGAGAGUUCUCAGGACUAUGAUGGCUGCUUUGAUUUAAGAAGACAAUACCAUUUCCAGACAUCUCUUUCCUGGGGCUAACUAUAUUAGUAUUCUGCCCUGAUGGGAAGGAAGAAACUUCAUGGGCAGUAAAUAGCCAAUUUAGAAGCAGGAGAAAUAUGAGAGAUAAAGAAUUAACAUUUUACAGAUGAAAUAAGAUGAGGCCCGAGAUUCAUUUGAAAUAAUCCAGGUAAUUGUGGAAAUGGAUAGGGGUGCAGAUGAAGCAAGAUUGUCCAUGUGUUGAUAAUUGUUUAAGAAGGAAAUUGGUAUAUGGAGGCUUAUUAUGCUAUUCUCUAUAUUUUUGAAUGUGCUAAAUAAUCUACAAUGAAGUGUUUUUGAAAAAGAUAUUGAAUAGCUAAUAGAGUAUUAGAAGGGCCAGAAAACAAAAGCAUAAGACCCAGCUUCUAGCAAUAAUGCAAAAUUAAGUCUCAGAAACACUUUCGUAAGGAAAACGCUGUAGCCACCACUAACCAUCAUUGGAGUCAUCUGCUCUUAUAGCAGAGCGAGAGACAGAGAAAGAGCCACUGCCAGAGAGCACAAGCAUACUCUCCACUCAUUCCCUCUCAGGAACUUUUGAGGAAAAAUCUGCGGCAGAUGCCUGUGGUUAUCAGAGCCUUUGCCAUAGCUUCAAGGGAGUCUGGGAAAGAGGGGAAAGUAAUCAUCUAGUAUUAUCUGUUCCAAUUACAAGGUUUCCUGUCCCAUCCCCACUGCAAAGAAUCAAAAUGAGAGCAAUUCCAAAAAUACAGAAAAUAAUUCAGAAAUCAAAAAGCAAAAUUGAAUGAACAAUAUUUACCUCCCUGGGCAAGUAGGAACCUCCCUGAGUUUCAGUUUCCUCAUCUGGCAAAUGAUUAAACAAUACCAUUCUCCCAAGAUUGCUUUGAGGACUGAAAGCAAUAAUGUGUCUAUUAAACAGCACAAUACAAAAGGUCCCUCAGCAAUCUUUCCUUCCUCCCUGUUUUUCUCCCCUCUUCCCUUCCUUUCCAUUUAAUUUCCUAUCUCACUUCAGUUUCUAUGUUCUUUGUGUUUUCAGGAUAAUAUUCUAUUUACUUAAGGGACACAAAGUAAAUAAAUGUUUUUGAAACUGAAUUGGAUUGAAGUGGAUCCAGAUUUUCACAGGAAAAAAAAGUUUCCUUUUCCCUUAGUUCUCCUUACACACCUGGCUUUGCAGGAAAAGAAAUUAUCAUUUGGAAACACACAUCUGCCUCAGCCACAGAGGGAAGGAGCUCUGUGUCAUAAAAGUGACCACAGCUGAGCCAAUCUCGCCCUAUGCCAGUCCACGUGGUAAUUUUGGAAGGGCCCUGGGAUAUCUGACCUUAUGAUGGUAGAAAAGGCUUGGACUACAUGUUUGGUUUGAAGUUUGAAAAUCUCAGUCCUUCCCCAACCAUCAAAAAUAUUUACCUCCCUCCCUUGUCUCACAAUCAUCUAAGCUGCCUUCUUGAAUUGACUCCCACACCUGUUCAUCAUAGAAGGAAAAAAAUAAAAGCAAAUGCCAUAUAAAAUCUCUCUUCUUCAACAAGGUCUUCUGUUUUGAAAUAUUGAAACAGUUCCUGUUCUAUUACCUCACCAGCUGUGGCCUUUUAUCUCCUAAAGGGAAUAGCUGACGUCUUACCAGUCAAAGUCAUUGUGCUUACGGACGCCAUAAAUAUCUCCUUUAAAUCCUACAUGAUAAAUUUCCCUCUGAUUGGUAAAGCAGAUACUGUAACAUGCAAAGGGGGAGCAGGAGAGUCUUUGAUGAUGUUAAACUAAGCCCCUGGAGAUAUCCCAGCUCUUCCUCCAGAAUUUUACUUUCCAACAACUGGAGUCAACAAAUACGGUAGAAAAUGUUGUCUGGAUUAUCUACUCCCAUUAUUUUUUUUUAAACUGGUUUUCAAUGAUGGGCAACCUAAAAUUUACUCACACAGAACACAAAACAGUUGAAUUUGUUAAAAGUCCAAAAUGUGCUUUUGUACUUUUGUAAAAUGGGAAUGUGCUUCUUGUACAAAUCACAAUAUGCUUUCUAGACCACAACCUAAAAAGGAAAGAAAAAAAUCCUGUGAAUAAAAAAAAAAAACAAGGACUUUCAGUUUUCUACAUGCAUUUGAAAUGACUUUAUCUCUGACUCAUGUUCUACUUUAUUUUUGAUUGGGAAGACCUGUUCCUAUACUGUAAUUUUUUUUUAAUAAUAAGUUUCCAUUUGUAACUAUUAGUUGGUCUUUCCACAAAAUUGGUUUGCUGGAAAGGACUGAGAAGAGAAAGAGCAUUCCUGGAUCAAUGGAACUGAUGAGUGUGGAAGUCCUUGAACUUGACCAAGCAUUGUCAAUUCUCAUAGUCUGACCAAAAAAAAACUAGAUUAUUUUGUGUGUUUUUCUUGGUGCUCCUAAUGUAAGUUUAUUCAAAUUGGGGGGGGGGCGGUGGGGGGAACAAACAAGUAGACUGCAGUUGUAAGAGAAAAAAGGUGAAAAUAAAUUAUUUUGGUGUUUUUUAUUACUUGGAACUUUAUUUAUUGUAGGAUAUAGAUUUAAGAUAAUUUUUUGUUUGUUUGUUUAUUUUAUUUUUAUUUAUUUAUUUGUUG